rnacentral:rRNA from 1 species
GACGAACGCUGGCGGCGUGCUUAACACAUGCAAGUCGAACGGAAAGACCCUGCUUUUGUGGGGUGCUCGAGUGGCGAACGGGUGAGUAACACGUGAGUAACCUGCCCUUGACUUUGGGAUAACUUCAGGAAACUGGGGCUAAUACCGGAUAGGAGCUCCUGCUGCAUGGUGGGGGUUGGAAAGUUUCGGCGGUUGGGGAUGGACUCGCGGCUUAUCAGCUUGUUGGUGGGGUAGUGGCUUACCAAGGCCUUGACGGGUAGCCGGCCUGAGAGGGUGACCGGCCACACUGGGACUGAGAUACGGCCCAGACUCCUACGGGAGGCAGCAGUGGGGAAUAUUGCACAAUGGGCGGAAGCCUGAUGCAGCAACGCCGCGUGCGGGAUGACGGCCUUCGGGUUGUAAACCGCUUUCACCUGUGACGAAGCGAGAGUGACGGUAAUGGGUAAAGAAGCACCGGCUAACUACGUG